rnacentral:tRNA from 1 species
GACCGCGUAGCUCAGUUGGAAGAGCAUUGGGCUGGUAUCCAAAGGUCGUAGGUUCGAAUCCCGCCGUGGCCG